UCAGAGACAGAGCUGAUGAGGAAGCAGAAAACUCUCUGAUUGGUUGAGUUGAAGUGGCCCCGCCCACUGACCUUCAGCUCAUCCAAUGACAUCAUUUCUUCCUCUUUCUGCUGCAGUGGAAGAACAUUGUUGAUCUGCAGUGUGGCUCUAAGGACUCCAAAGACAUGUUGCUCUGCCUGGUUCUGCUUCUGUCUCUCAGUAGAGGUCUAACAGCUCAGGCUCAAGACUUCAUCUCUGCUGUUGGUUAUGAAGUCAACGGGAUAGAAGGACAACCUGUCUCAUUCAACUGUAGCUAUAAGACGGGUUCUGACUAUCCCAACCUUCACUGGUACAAACAAGUUUCCGAUGUUGAGGCUCCUCAGUUCCUGCUGUGGAAAGGAGCAAAAAAAAGCAGUGUGGAUGAGCACAACCCCAACGAUCGUUACGGAUCAGUAACGACAGAUACAUCAACUGAACUGCAGAUAGAAACAGCAACCCUGGCAGACUCAGGCCUCUACUACUGCGCUCUAGAAACACAGUGGUGCAACAUGUAGAGGAGGCUGUACAAAAACCUGACCACAGACACCAAACUCAGGUUCAAAGAUAAGAGAAACCACAAACCACCGCUGCUCAUCCAAGGCUUCUGCUUUUAAAGAAUGUUUGCUGUCGUAGUUUCCAACAAAACCCUAGCAAAAAUUUCAAGCCCCACUAGCAAGUCCUGGUGGUCUGGACCUACACCCCGGUAUUAACUGAGAUGCAUUGGGUUUUGGGGUUUAGGUGGAGAAGACUCUACAAUCGGCAGUCUGUGGUCUCCUAAAUGUAACUUCCAGUCCAAUUUUGAUGUUAUUGACAUCAAAAUGAUCAACACUCAUAUUGCUCUUUAUAUUCACUCAGAUAUAUGUGAAUACACCUGGGGAAAGGACAGGGAAGCCUGUUG